GAUUGUGUUAUAAAGGUAGCACAAUAAUGGCCGCAGUUAUGUGCCGAAGUUCUCGUGCCCACCAGAGAUUUCGUCAAAUAGUAAAUAGAAUCGUCGAUAAUAGCAUCUUUGUGAAAUUCCCUUCUUCUCCAGUGUCCUGUCUCUGUGCCUACUGCAGAAAAAGAUAAACUUGUUCGCUAACUCCGAACGUACCGGGUGCCGCAAUCCCGUGACGAAGUGUACACACUCGCCAUAUUUGACAAUCUAAAGUAAACGCCUAAAAAAGCAACAGUAUUUGCAUAUUAUCAAGUUGCAGACUACGGCACUUCCAUCAAGAACCCACCUGUAAUUGUU